UACGUAGGGUGCAAGCGUUAAUCGGAAUUACUGGGCGUAAAGGGCUCGUAGGCGGCCAACUAAGUCAGACGUGAAAUCCCUCGGCUUAACCGGGGAACUGCGUCUGAUACUGGAUGGCUUGAGUUCGGGAGAGGGAUGCGGAAUUCCAGGUGUAGCGGUGAAAUGCGUAGAUAUCUGGAGGAACACCGGUGGCGAAGGCGGCAUCCUGGACCGGCACUGACACUGAGGAGCGAAAGCCAGGGGAGCAAACGGG
rnacentral:rRNA from 1 species